GACGAACGCUGGCGGCGUGCCUAAUACAUGCAAGUAGGACGCAGUUGCGAACGGGUGAGUAACGAGUAGGUAACUACCUAUUAGAGGGGGAUAACUAUUGGAAACGAUAGCUAAUACCGCAUACACGUUGGUGGACCUGCGUUGUAUUAGCUAGUAGGUAGGGUAAUGGCCUACCUAGGCCACGAUCCAUAGACGACCGGAGAGGGUGAUCGGCCACACUGGGACGUAGACCCGGCCCCGACUCUUGCGGGAGGCAGCAGUAGGGAAUCUUCGGCAAGUGGGGGAACCCUGACCGAGCAACGCCGCGUGAGUGAAGAAGGUUUUCGGAUCGUAAAGCUCUGUUGUUAAGGAAGCGAUACUUAACCAGAAAGGGACGGCUAACUACGUGCCAGCCGCCGCGGUAAUUC
rnacentral:rRNA from 1 species